rnacentral:rRNA from 1 species
GACGAACGCUGGCGGCGUGCUUCAUACAUGCAAGUCGAACGAACUCGACCUUCGGGUCACAUGAGUGAGUGGCGAACGGGUGAGUAACACGUGAGAAACCUGCCCCGAAGUUUGGAAUAACUCAAAGAAAUUUGAGCUAAUACCAAAUGCCCUGUUCGGAUCGAAUGGUCUGAUCAGGAAAGAUUUAUCGCUUUGGGAGGGUCUCGCGACCUAUCAGCUUGUUGGUAAGGUAACGGCUUACCAAGGCACCGACGGGUAGCUGGUCUGAGAGGACGAUCAGCCACACUGGGACUGAGACACGGCCCAGACUUCUACGGAAGGCAGCAGUAGGGAAUCUUGCACAAUGGGCGAAAGCCUGAUGCAGCGACGCCGCGUGGGGGAUGAAGGCCCUAGGGUCGUAAACCCCUUUCAGCAGGGACGAAAUUGACGGUACCUGCAGAAGAAGCUCCGGCCAACUACG